GCUCUUACGACCUAGUGGUUAGAGCGUCCGCCUCGGAUGCGGGAGGUCGUGGGUUCGAUCCCCCGCCGAGUCAUGCCA